rnacentral:sRNA from 1 species
GCUUCCUUUCCGCUCGGCUGUUUUCCUGCGCGGGAGCCGCAGGGCCGUAGGCAGCCAUGGCGCCCAGCCGGAAUGGCAUGGUCUUGAAGCCCCACUUCCACAAGGACUGGCAGCGGCGCGUGGCCACGUGGUUCAACCAGCCGGCCCGGAAGAUCCGCAGGUGAGCCCUGCGCUCGGGGCUGCCCCUGGGGCUCGUGCCCGCGGCUGCGCCUUGGUUUGCGGGUGGCCGAUGCCAGGGCGGGGGGCGCUGUCUGCGACCGUCGCGGAGAGCUGGCCUGGCGGCCUUAGGCAAGGGUGACCGCCGCUGCGCUUCUCUCCACCAGACGUAAGGCCCGGCAAGCCAAGGCGCGCCGCAUCGCCCCGCGCCCCGCGUCGGGGCCCAUCCGGCCCAUCGUGCGCUGCCCCACGGUUCGGUACCACACGAAGGUGCGCGCCGGCCGCGGCUUCAGCCUGGAGGAGCUCAGGGUGGCCGGCAUUCACAAGAAGGUGGCCCGGACCAUCGGCAUUUCUGUGGAUCCGAGGAGGCGGAACAAGUCCACGGAGUCCCUGCAGGCCAACGUGCAGCGGCUGAAGGAGUACCGCUCCAAACUCAUCCUCUUCCCCAGGAAGCCCUCGGCCCCCAAGAAGGGAGACAGUUCUGCUGAAGAACUGAAACUAGCCACCCAGCUGACCGGACCGGUCAUGCCCAUCCGGAACGU